rnacentral:rRNA from 1 species
UACGGAGGGUGCAAGCGUUAUCCGGAUUCACUGGGUUUAAAGGGUGCGUAGGCGGGCAGGUAAGUCCGUGGUGAAAUCUCUGAGCUUAACUCAGAAACUGCCAUGGAUACUAUUUGUCUUGAAUAUUGUGGAGGUAAGCGGAAUAUGUCAUGUAGCGGUGAAAUGCGUAGAUAUCAUUUGGAACGCCAAUGGUGAAAACAACUCGCUGGGGGUGUGCUGACGCUGAGACACGAAAGCCAGGGGAGCGAACGGG